UUGCACCAGUAUUAGUUAUGUCCUGUUUUCUUGUGUUGAUGGCGGGACAUUAAAACUGGUGCACAGAGGUAAUGCUGCUCUUGAAGCAGCGGCGGCCAGACAACCGUUGAGAGAUGGAUCCACAGAUGAACAAUCUUUCUGUUGUUUGUCUACUAGUUCCAUCUCACAUUA